GGCUGGCUUUGACACACAGCUGUGGAAGCACGAGGAAAUUUAAGAGAAGCAUGGGCAAGGGGAGAGGUAGUGUUUCAGAAGUAAUCUCAAAUACUUGUUCAUAUUGAAGUCCAUGUGGCUAUCAAAACAAGAAGCAGCUUCUUGGCCUCAACUUCUUCAUCUGGACGAUUAACACCAGUCUUAUCAAUAUCACUGGAUUAUGCUGAGAACCAGACGAGAUGAUCAGUGCACAAGAGUGAGCUCAGAGAAGUUGAUGAACCUGCCAAGGACCCCAGCUGAGAGACUGAAUUGGUGUGCAGAUUCCAAAGCUCACAUGCAUUCCAUUUUAUCUCAUCUUCAGUGGACUUUGAACAUGACUCAGCCUUCACCUUGACCCUUGGUGAAGUUACUGAGAAUCAAGACCCAGUGUGGCCAUGUCUCGGGAGCUUCCUGCAGCUCAGCAGCUGACUCCCAAACCUGGAGGUCCUCACUCUGCAUCCUGUACUCUGCCCUCUGGCUGAUCGUCAGCAUUCUCAGGCAGCCUGGCUCCCUGUAAAGUUGCUAAAACUUGUGUUUAUCAUCAUCUUCCAUCAUUUCUAAUUGUUUUCCUGUGUCCCUUUCUUUUGUAGAGGAUAUAAACUCAGCAUUUUAGCUUUUGAAAUAGAUUUGCUGUGCAGAUUCAUGGCUUUUGAGUGGCUUAAAAUGUAUUGUUCUGCGAGUCUCUCUGUACCAGUCACAGCAUUCACUGUGGGAAGCAGCAGGACGCCAGUGAUGCUGAUGUUUAUUUGACUUUAGGGGGCUUUAAGGCAUUCCUGGGACCAUAAGGAUUAGAAAUAUUCUGCCUCGUUGUCUUCAGAAGCUACUAAAAUAUCCUAGAAAUUAUCAUGUUUCAUAUUUCACAUUGCCUCUUGUAUCCUUACAUGGCCUUUAUCAAGAGCCUGGCAUAAACCACUGUAAUGGUUCUGAAAUAGGAACAUCAUGGUUCUCCAAUCACUAAAGCCCUUUCCACUCUGAGACUGGACAUUCAUUGCUGUUUUCUGCCUGCGCUCUGAUUUACAAGACUGUCUAUGAAUUCUCUGUUUAAUAUACAGUACGUGGUUGGUUGCCCUCAAUGCAUGAGACUUCCUGGUAUUUUUUCACGUGGUUAGAUGGAUAACAUUUGUUACAUAUUUAUUGUUUAGAUAUACUAGCAAUCCUCACUUUGCAGAAUAUCAGGUCUGCAUAUUGAAACCAUGUACUCACUUUGAACAAUCCUGUGGUAACUGUGAAGUGAGAACACAGGUCUGAUAGAUAUGCGUUUCAUUGGUAGUAUGCAUUGUGAAGACUAUCUGAAAUUGUUUUCAAAUAAAAUUUGGAUAAGGACUGUAACUACA
rnacentral:lncRNA from 13 species